rnacentral:lncRNA from 1 species
GAAUGCUCUAGCUCCUUGUUGGCAUUUGAAAUCCCAAAUCCAUCUGAGAAAAAUUGCUAAAAAACCAACAAGGACUUUGGCAAAUGUUAAACCAAGCAAAGAGGAAUAUGCAGUCAAAGAACUAUUAUAUGCACAGUCAAUCCACCAGAUGCAGCUCUAGCAAAACCACCAUAACCACCACCAAGCGCAGCAACCAAAAAUCCUGCGCUACUUGAACAAAAGCCACCAAACAAAAAUAAAUACAUGAAAAAUGAAAAAAAAAAAAAAUUGCAAUUGAUAAAGAAUUGAAUUAAAAGGUAUUUUCUGAUCUCUCUUUAUCUUUACAAUUCAUAAUGCAAUUAAGGCAUUAUUCUCUUCCUAUUCCUACUCUCUUUUUUUUUUUAUCUUUACAAUCCUUAUCCAGGUUUAAAUAGAUCUCCUUUCUCGAUACAUUUUUGAUCCGUGGUGGUGUUGGGUUUUGUUGGUGGGUUUUAAAUUUAAUUGGGUUAUUCUCUUUGCUAGUUUUUAUGAUUUGAGUACUUUUAAUUUGACAAUAAUUUAGUUUUACAGUUUUUAUUUGUAGCUAUGGAAGAGAAUUUAUGCAGAAACUACUAUGGAGAGCAACUUAACAAAGAGGUUACUGCAAAUAAUCCAUGACAUCAAGAGGGAGCUUCAAAUUUGAUUUCAAAAAAACUCUAUUUACCUUCAAUUCCUCAAAAAACACAGCCCAGUUAGAUGAUUUCUUUUGGGUUUUUUUUGCCCUUUUCAAUGUAUCAAUGCGAUUCACAAAGGAGAAACAGAAUAAUUUCAGAGAUAGAGCGAUUUCAAAAUCAUUUUUUUAUUUGAAUGAUUUGGGUGAAAGAAAUGGGUAAAGAAAAUGGUUUUUUAUUAAUAUUCACAAUUAGAGGUUUUCAUGCCACGUUGGACACAUACCUGGCCAAAAAAUUAAAUCUUCAGUCUCCUAUUAGCGAGGUGCAUAGUUAACGAAGAAAAUGAAAGUUUAAGGUUAUGAUAUAAUUCUCGCAAAAUUAUACAUUAGGCCAAAAAUAAAAUUUUAAAAAGUUUCAAAAUAAACAUUAAUAUUUACAAUCAAUGCAUCAACAACACAAUUGAUUCUUCAAAAAUAAACUAAAGCAAAACUCAUUCUUAUCAAAACUGGUAGAGGAAAGAAUAAAAUAAUAACUAAAUUAGGGCACCAGGAAUUAAUAUGGUUAAUUUCAUUGAUGAUCCUCAAUUUAGGGCUACUACAUUUAAUUGUGUCUGUGCUUCAAUUUGUAAUUUAAAAAUGCUCAAACUUUAAUUGAGCGCUGUGUUUACACUUCAAUUUAUAAUUUAAAAAUGCUCAAACUUUAAUUGUGUAACAUAAAAAAAUGCCUUUAGCGUUUCAAUUUAUUUUCCGGUGCCGGAGUGCAACGUGAACAAUAUGUGGCAUAUAAAAAACAAAAAUAUUAUCCACAUGCCGUAUUAUAUUUUUUAAUAAAAUUCUACAUAAUAAAAAAUAUUUGAAAAAUAAGAAAAAAAACUUUCAAAAAUAUUUUCCAGUUGGUGGAGCAUUGCCACCGAAUGCUCUAGCUCCUUGUUGGCAUUUGAAAUCCCAAAUCCAUCUGAGAAAAAUUGCUAAAAAACCAACAAGGACUUUGGCAAAUGUUAAACCAAACAAAGAGGAAUAUGCAAUCAAAGAACUAUUAUAUGCACAGUCAAUCCACCAAAUGCAGCUCUAGCAAAACCACCAUAACCACCACCAAGCGCAGCAACCGACAAUCCUGCGCUACUUGAACACAAGCCACCAAACAAAAAUAAAUACAUGAAAAAUGAAAAAUCAUAGAUCCUACUGUAAGAACCGAAACCACAACCCCAUUUCUUUUCUUCCUUAGUUUUUUUGAAUGCUUGACUUAUCUAGCUGUAUCUUUUCACCUUCAACUUGACAAGAUUAGAACAAUCAUCUCCAAUGGCUUCAGAUUUCUAACAAAUUGUCCAAACAUAGUCUUUCAAAUUUGGCCUUGAAAAUCAACAAGGAAUCUAAUGGAAGAUUAAGAUAACAGGAAACAUGUGAUACCUACUGCAGGACUCAAGGUGGUCGAGAAAUGGUGUUGUUCACCUGUAAAUCAAUAUUACAGGAGAAGGCUUCGAAUCGCGCAGGAUAACCUUCGAUUUAUAAAAGGAAGGCCAGAAAU